AGAGUUUGAUCCUGGCUCAGGAUCAACGCUGGCGGCGUGCGUUAAGCAUGCAAGUCGCACGGAUCCCCGCAAGGGGGUGAGUGGCAGACGGCUGAGGAGAACGGAAGGAACCUACCCACGAGAGGGGGAUAACUCCGCGAAAGCGGGGCUAAGACCGCGUACGCUCACCAUCGGAGGGGGUGGUGAGGAAAACCGACAGG
rnacentral:rRNA from 1 species